rnacentral:lncRNA from 1 species
AACCCCACACAACUCUGCCGUGAACAGACGACGCUUGUCCCGAGCCGCGGAAGAUCACCUUAAUAUCCACAUCUCUUCCUGGCCUCACUCAUAUACCUAUUUCUCCGUCCACCCAUACCUGUGGUGAGCUGCCUGGUGCGGACGUCCAUGGAGAUUGCUGUAGAUGGCUGAGCAGCUCUGUACUGGCUGGUUUCGCAUUGUUGCAGGCUCCUUGGAGAUUGAGGAAUGCAAAUCUGCAAUCAUGAUGGAAGGUGAGGCUCAGUCCCUGCUGCCUGUUUUUCAUAAUGUGUGUGUGUGUGUGUGUGUGUGUGUGUUUUUUUUCCCAUUAUGGUUACCCAACUAU